GAGGUCGGCUAGGCGGCCGCGUCACCCGCACGGGUGCCGAGGAACGUCCGGGCUCCACAGAGCGGGGUGGUGGGUAACACCCACCCGGAGUAAUCCGCGAGAUAGUGCCACAGAAAAGAAACCGCCCUCCGCGAGGAGGGUAAGGGUGAAAAGGUGGUGUAAGAGACCACCAGAGGUGCGGGUGACCGCACCUGCUGGGUAAACCUCACCCGGAGCAAGACCAAACAGGUGUCGAUACGGCUGCUCGUCUAGACACCGGGUAGGUCGCUAGAGGUCGCUGGUAACAGCGAUUGUAGAGAGAUGGUCGCCCCCGGUUUUCCGGGACAGAACCCGGCGUAUCGGCCGGCCUCUUUU
rnacentral:RNase_P_RNA from 1 species